AAUUGAACCUGGCGGCAGGCCUAACCAUGCAAGUCGAGCGGAUGAAGGGAGCUUGCUCCUGGAUUCAGCGGCGGACGGGUGAGUAAUGCCUAGGAAUCUGCCUGGUAGUGGGGGAUAACGUCCGGAAACGGCGCUAAUACCGCAUACGUCCUGAGGGAGAAAGUGGGGGAUCUUCGGACCUCACGCUAUCAGAUGAGCCUAGGUCGGAUUAGCUAGUUGGUGGGGUAAAGGCCUACCAAGGCGACGAUCCGUAACUGGUCUGAGGGAUGAUCAGUCACACUGGAACUGAGACACGGUCCAGACUCCUACGGGAGGCAGCAGUGGGGAAUAUUGGACAAUGGGCGAAAGCCUGAUCCAGCCNGCGAUCAUUUUGCAACCNGUUCGGCCUGCCGCACAGUAUGUGNGNCGCCACCCNUUGAUGUUUAGNAACCCGUUUAAUUUGGNCAAGAAUUNGCAANC
rnacentral:rRNA from 1 species